CCGCUGUCCUGUCCCCAUGGGCUUCUCGGCAGCCCUGGCCGUUUAUCUCAGCACCUGGAAAUGUAACAACAUUUGAACUGUCCUGUCUGACGGAGGCGGGUGUUGACCUUACAAUGGGGGUCAGGCCCGCGGCAGCGCUGUCUGGCGUGUCCUCGAGAUAUAAUCAUUAUGAAGACCUGGAUGACACUGCCCGGGAAUGAGAUGGAGCUGCUGUGCCUCAGAGAGUUGGCGAUGGACUUGGGGACCGUGGCUGAGAUGAGGCAGAGGUCCGAGAAUGACAGACUCCUCAGAAAGAAGUACAUGGGGGUGUGGAGGUGCCAGUCCAGGGUCGUGAUGAUGCAGAUGAGCCCAUUCCCCAGCAGGGCACACAGGUAGACCAGGGAGAAGAGCAGCGGGUGCAAGAAGCCCAUGGUCCCCUGGGUGGGGAACCCCAGGAGGAUGAAUUCUGUCACUGCCGUGAGAUUGGUCACCUCUGGAGACAUCAACUGUAUAAAUAAAAA